ACCUACUGUUUAAUUUUGAGGGUUCGUUUUUACGAAUACUCAAAAUUAGCACUUUUAGCACUUUAAGCAACGGGAUUUAUCCGUUGGCGCCGUGCUUUAGCACUUUGAAAACUGCAUAUAUAUUUAGUGAUAUGACAUCUAAUUUGUAAUAUAUAAAGCUGAUAACUUUUAAAAUUAUCGAAGUUGAUAGCUUCUAAUCUAUCAAACCUUUUUAACUGGUCAA
rnacentral:misc_RNA from 1 species